AGCAAAAUCAAUUCGUGUUGUUUGGAGAAAUGUCAAUCAAGAUUGGCGUGUAGAGAAUGGCUUGUCAGUUCUUGACAAAGAACCUCUUUUCAUUGGCAUAUCUGUCAGCUCCACUGAAAAGGCUUUUAGAACAGUUGAUAUUGGGCCAGAUGCUGAAAACAAGAUAGAGGCACUUAGAUUCCGGAAGUUU